CAUAUUAUUAAGAAUCAGGAACCAGUCAUGGCGGUCAGGCGUCAGGGCAGGGGCUCAGGCCAUCAAACUCAAGAUGAACAACGUAGAAUGGUAGAAAGAACAAUGUGAUGCAUGAUGUAUCGUCCUAUCGUUAAAGAAAAUGGGAAAACACAGUGGUUCUGAGAGCUCCAUUACCUACCUGAUUUGAUUUUUAGAGCUGGGCUCCUGGCUCUUGGCUGACAGAUGUAUUUGUGUGUUUUUAGGUGAUUUUGCCUACAAUUUCAGUCCCACUCCCAGUGUGUCAUCUGACCACUUGGCCUGAAAUUGCUGUAUGCCGAAAUGUCGUCUCAUACCAGAAACUUAAUUGCAAUGACUAAUUCAAGCUGGUCAACGGUGGUGUUUGCUGCUUAAUGUGUUGAUGGUGAAAGGUGUGCUCAACUCGGAACAAGCUGUCGUUGUCUCUUGUGUUGGUGAAUCUACAGUUACUUUGCUAACCUUCUUCAGCUUCUCUGGGUACAAGAUUCAACAUGUUAAACUGUUUGAUGCCAAAGUUGUCAGAAUUCUAACCCUAACAGUUCCUGCUGCCUCACACCCACAGGCAGAAAAGUUACUCAAUUUCUUAAGACAAAAGUUCAACAGCCAGCUGAUAUCUCUGCAUUGUUGUUUAACACAACAUGGUUAUUUGGUACAGCCAGCCGGUGAAAGGCAUCAUCAAAUUAAGUUCAGCUGUGGCACGGAGUCUGUGGUGCCGGUGUAUUCUGGAGCGUGUUGGUGUUCUGUGAAAUGUUUUGCUUAAACUGUUUUGUGUGUCCUUUGGGCCCACCUAGGUUAGGUUCUUUUGUUAACAUGUUUCCGUACCGGAACCUAGCGUUGGGCCCAAGAUACUUGAGGAGAUUAUUUGCCAUUGAAGUAAUUUAUGAUAGACAAAUGCAUAUUGUACUCUCUUCUGUGAAGCCUCGUUUCCAUAACUAACUAACGACCGCUGUGCAAUACUCCAAAAGGAGAAGGAAGUCGGUGAAAUAAUUAACAGCUAGUCCCACUGCGGAACCCGAAAUGAGCGGCGAGAUUGUCUCAAAUGUUGAUCUGAUCUAACUAUUUCCAGAAGUAGAUCAUAUCUUUUAGUUCAAUCGUUCGCCGCCGUUCCAUCAACAAAAUCCAUUGUUGAUACUGAUGAGAGGCUGCUGAAAUUUGAGGUUGACUGAUAAAUUACAAGUGUAUAUAUCUGUGUUCCCUCUCUGUUUCCUUAAGUAAACAGUAACCAACUCCCCCCCCCCCCUCAAUCACGCUCUGUGAUAACCGUGAUGAAACGCAUAAUUUGAGCAAAACCUUUGAAGGGCUUUCAGUCUAACCCACCUUUGAUUAAUCGCUCCCGUAAUAACAUUUUCACAACUCCUUAAUUUUUUUAUAUAAUUUAAAUUAUAAAUUAUGUAUUUAAACCCUCAUGUCACAUCCAGAAUUGUCAAUCAACUACUUCUGCACCAAGUUUCCUAGUAAGAUAAUUCCCUUUUUGGUAAAGUCCUAUUUGAAAAUUACACAUGACAAAGAAAAUGAAGGGACUUUCUGCCUUACCAAUCUAAUUAGAUGCACAGUACCUAGAGUAAGGAUCGAAUGAGCCAGAAACAUGCUGCUGUUGUGGGACUGGAUAGUGUGGAAAGGCCUUUUUCAUCUUCACCAUUUUGUGAUUGACUUAUCAUUUGCUGUUACCUUGUAGUAAACCAAAACAAAUAGAAAAAUAUUCUGAAUAACA